UAGGGAAUAUUGGACAAUGGGCGAAAGCCUGAUCCAGCAACGCCGCGUGUGCGAUGACGGCCUUCGGGUUGUAAAGCACUUUUAGGGGAGAUGAGAAAGGACAGUAUCCCCUGAAUAAGCCUCGGCGAACUACGUGCCAGCAGCCGCGGUAAAACGUAGGAGGCUAGCGUUAUCCGGAUUUAUUGGGCGUAAAGCGCGUGCAGGCGGUUUAGCAAGUUAGAUGUGAAAGCUCCUGGCUUAACUGGGAGAGGUCGUUCAAAACUGCUAGACUAGAGAAUGGGAGAGGGAGGUGGAAUUCCGGGUGUAGUGGUGAAAUGCGUAGAUAUCCGGAGGAACACCAGUGGCGAAAGCGGCCUCCUGGACCACUUCUGACGCUAAGACGCGAAAGCUAGGGUAGCAAACGG
rnacentral:rRNA from 1 species